GACGAACGCUGGCGGCGUGCUUAACACAUGCCAGUCGAACGGAAAGGCCCUGCUUUUGUGGGGUGCUCGAGUGGCGAACGGGUGAGUAACACGUGAGUAACCUGCCCUUGACUUUGGGAUAACUUCAGGAAACUGGGGCUAAUACCGGAUAGGAGCUCCUGCUGCAUGGUGGGGGUUGGAAAGUUUCGGCGGUUGGGGAUGGACUCGCGGCUUAUCAGCUUGUUGGUGGGGUAGUGGCUUACCAAGGCUUUGACGGGUAGCCGGCCUGAGAGGGUGACCGGCCACAUUGGGACUGAGACACGGCCCAGACUCCUACGGGAGGCAGCAGUGGGGAAUAUUGCACAAUGGGCGGAAGCCUGAUGCAGCAACGCCGCGUGCGGGAUGACGGCCUUCGGGUUGUAAGCCGCUUUCGCCUGUGACGAAGCGUGAGUGACGGUAAUGGGUAAAGAAGCACCGGCUAACUACGUG
rnacentral:rRNA from 1 species